CAGUAGCCGCGGUAAUACGUAGGUCCCGAGCGUUGUCCAGAUUUAUUGGGCGUAAAGGGAGCGCAGGCGGUUUAGUAAGUCUGAAGUUAAAGGCAUUGGCUCAACCAAUGUAUGCUUUGGAAACUGUUAGACUUGAGUGCAGAAGGGGAGAGUGGAAUUCCAUGUGUAGCGGUGAAAUGCGUAGAUAUAUGGAGGAACACCGGUGGCGAAAGCGGCUCUCUGGUCUGUCACUGACGCUGAGGCUCGAAAGCGUGGGUAGCGAACAGGAUUAGAUACCCCAGUAGUCCCUGUCUCUUAUACC
rnacentral:rRNA from 1 species